UACAUAGAAGACAAGUGUUAUUCAUCUUUAACAGGUUUAAAGGGUACCUAGACGGGAAAUCAAGCCAUAGUAGAGACUAAUUUCCUAGAGUUUCAUAAGUUAAGAUCGAACUUACCGAGGAGCGAUAAAAUGCGUAGGAUAUGGUAAUGACGGGUAGCAGCGAAGGCAUUCUUAUAUGUAGAAACUGACGUUGAGGAACGAAGCCCUGGGUAGCAAUAAGG
rnacentral:rRNA from 1 species